rnacentral:rRNA from 1 species
ACAGCCGGCCAUAGCAUACGGGUCCGACCUGGACUCAUUCCGAACCCAGACUCGAAAGAGGGGGAGAAGUCAAACCGUAUGUCGCCAAGGUGCUAGUGAGGUGCGAGAGCCCUCGUGAAGCUUUGGUGCCGGCGCCU